rnacentral:piRNA from 1 species
UAUAUUGCUUUAAGAAUGGUC